rnacentral:rRNA from 1 species
AGACUGAACGCUGGCGGCAUGCCUAACACAUGCAAGUCGAACGGGAGUAGCAAUACUCUAGUGGCGGACGGGUGAGGAAUACGUAGGAAUUUGCCCUUAAGUGGGGGAUAACCCGGGGAAACCCGGAUUAAUACCGCAUGACCUCGAAAGAGCAAAGUGGGGGAUCGCAAGACCUCACGCUUUUGGAGAAGCCUACGUCGGAUUAGCUAGUUGGUGAGGUAAUGGCUCACCAAGGCGACGAUCCGUAACUGGUCUGAGAGGAUGAUCAGU